rnacentral:rRNA from 1 species
GACGAACGCUGGCGGCGUGCUUAACACAUGCAAGUCGAACGAAGUGGCGAAAGGGUGAGUAACGCGUAAUCAACCUGCCCUUCAGAGGGGGACAACAGGUGGAAAAGACUGCUAAUACCGCAUACGGAAGGCGGGGAUUGCGUCUGAUUAGCUAGUUGGAGGGGUAACGGCCCACCAAGGCGAUGAUCAGUAGCCGGUCUGAGUGGAUGAACGGCCGCAUUGGGACUGAGAGACGACCCAGACUCCUACGGAAGGCAGCAGUGGGGAAUCUUCCGCAAUGAACGAAAGUCUGACGAAGCAACGCCGCGUGAGUGAUGACGGCCUUCGGGUUGUAAAGCUCUGUUAAUCGGGACGCGGUACCGGAAUAGAAAGCCACGGCUAACUACGGGCCAGCAGCCGCGGUAAUAC